CCUACGGGAGGCAGCAGUGGGGAAUAUUGGACAAUGGGCGAAAGCCUGAUCCAGCAAUGCCGCGUGAGUGAUGAAGGCCUUAGGGUUGUAAAGCUCUUUUACCAGGGAUGAUAAUGACAGUACCUGGAGAAUAAGCUCCGGCUAACUCCGUGCCAGCAGCCGCGGUAAUACGGAGGGGGCUAGCGUUGUUCGGAAUUACUGGGCGUAAAGCGUGCGUAGGCGGCGAUUCAAGUCAGAGGUGAAAGCCUGGAGCUCAACUCCAGAACUGCCUUUGAAACUAGAUUGCUAGAAUCUUGGAGAGGUCAGUGGAAUUCCGAGUGUAGAGGUGAAAUUCGUAGAUAUUCGGAAGAACACCAGUGGCGAAGGCGACUGACUGGACAAGUAUUGACGCUGAGGUACGAAAGCGUGGGGAGCAAACAGGAUUAGAUACCCUGGUAGUCCACGCUGUAAACGAUGAUAACUAGCUGUCCGGGCUCUCAGAGCUUGGGUGGCGCAGCUAACGCAUUAAGUUAUCCGCCUGGGGAGUACGGUCGCAAGAUUAAAACGUUCAAAUGAAAUUGACGG
rnacentral:rRNA from 1 species